rnacentral:rRNA from 1 species
UGGGGAAUCUUGCACAAUGGGGGAAACCCUGAUGCAGCGACGCCGCGUGAGCGAUGAAGGUUUUCGAAUCGUAAAGCUCUGUCCUAUGGGAAGAUAAUGACGGUACCAUGGGAGGAAGCCCCGGCUAACUACGUGCCAGCAGCCGCGGUAAUACGUAGGGGGCGAGCGUUGUCCGGAAUUACUGGGCGUAAAGGGUUCGCAGGCGGCAUGGCAAGUCCGAUGUAAAAGGCGAAGGCUCAACCUUCGUAAGCAUCGGAAACUGUCAAGCUUGAGUGAAGGAGAGGAAAGUGGAAUUCCUAGUGUAGCGGUGGAAUGCGUAGAUAUUAGGAGGAAUACCGGUGGCGAAGGCGACUUGCUGGACUUCAACUGACGCUGAGGAACGAAAGCGUGGGUAGCAAACAGG